AAAGGCCUUUGGGUUGUAAAGCUCUUUCGGUUGGGAAGAAGGGAGUACGGGCUAAUACCUCGUAUUUUUGACGGUACCAGCAUAAGAAGCACCGGCUAAUUCCGUGC
rnacentral:rRNA from 1 species